GUCUGUGCCUGCUGGAGGGGAAUUCUCCACUCUCUCUGUUUUCUUUUAGCGCUCUUCCCCUUAACUUGAUCUGAGUUCAUCGACAGAGGUGUACAGCAACCCUGCACUUGGGAUAGCAGACUCACGCCUAGAUUAGGCUAGAAGCCAUGCCUCGGUGUCGCGUGGCUCUCAGGGUCUGCAGUGCAGCCCAAGAUAAAAUUUGCCACUUCUGCAACAAUCCCACAGGGCUCAACGCUCACCACUGUAAUUACAGAUAUUGCAUUAUACAGCAAUAAUUUGUUUGCAUGUCUGUCUCCCCAGCCUCUCAGUCCUCACUCUACACUCCAGGGACAGCGAGACAAGGUAUAGUCAUCUCUGAUUUUUCGAUGGUCUCUGGUACCUAGCAGUUUUC
rnacentral:lncRNA from 1 species